CAGGGAGACAACAAAAUGUUUAAUAUUAUUAUUUUGUCACCUUAGGUCGAUCGGUAUCUCACAUUCUUAAUUUAUUAAGGAUUUCAUUUCCUAAGUUUUUCUAGGUCACACCCAUUAUUUUUCCUGGGCCAUUAGCUCAGGUGGUUAGAGCGCACCCCUGGUAAGGGUGAGGUCCCUGGUUCAAGUCCAGGAUGGCCCAUAUCUCUAUAUGUUGGGGGUAUAGCUCAGUUGGUAGAGCGCCUGCUUUGCAAGCAGGAUGUCAGCGGUUCGAGUCCGCUUACCUCCACUGAUUACCACCUCUUCCAUAAUCUUUAGAAGGGAAAUGUUUUGUGUUGUGAUCAAAUUCGGAACGAAUCUAGCUUCCUAAUGAAAUCAUUAAGAUGCUGGACUCAUUGAAUUAAUUUCAUUGUUUUCAGAGAACCUUGACAACUGCAUAGAUUAUUUUUAAAGACAAUAAGCAUCUUUAAUGAUGCAGAUUUAUUAUUUGUGCGAAUGCAUUAAUAACAAUUCUAUUAAGCUGAUGCUUCAAUUUUGAAGUUAUU
rnacentral:tRNA from 1 species